UUAAGCGACUAAGCGUACACGGUGGAUGCCCUGGCAGUCAGAGGCGAUGAAGGACGUGCUAAUCUGCGAUAAGCGUCGGUAAGGUGAUAUGAACCGUUAUAACCGGCGAUUUCCGAAUGGGGAAACCCAGUGUGUUUCGACACACUAUCAUUAACUGAAUCCAUAGGUUAAUGAGGCGAACCGGGGGAACUGAAACAUCUAAGUACCCCGAGGAAAAGAAAUCAACCGAGAUUCCCCCAGUAGCGGCGAGCGAACGGGGAGCAGCCCAGAGCCUGAAUCAGUGUGUGUGUUAGUGGAAGCGUCUGGAAAGGCGCGCGAUACAGGGUGACAGCCCCGUACACAAAAAUGCACAUGCUGUGAGCUCGAUGAGUAGGGCGGGACACGUGGUAUCCUGUCUGAAUAUGGGGGGACCAUCCUCCAAGGCUAAAUACUCCUGACUGACCGAUAGUGAACCAGUACCGUGAGGGAAAGGCGAAAAGAACCCCGGCGAGGGGAGUGAAAAAGAACCUGAAACCGUGUACGUACAAGCAGUGGGAGCACGCUUAGGCGUGUGACUGCGUACCUUUUGUAUAAUGGGUCAGCGACUUAUAUUCUGUAGCAAGGUUAACCGAAUAGGGGAGCCGAAGGGAAACCGAGUCUUAACUGGGCGUUAAGUUGCAGGGUAUAGACCCGAAACCCGGUGAUCUAGCCAUGGGCAGGUUGAAGGUUGGGUAACACUAACUGGAGGACCGAACCGACUAAUGUUGAAAAAUUAGCGGAUGACUUGUGGCUGGGGGUGAAAGGCCAAUCAAACCGGGAGAUAGCUGGUUCUCCCCGAAAGCUAUUUAGGUAGCGCCUCGUGAAUUCAUCUCCGGGGGUAGAGCACUGUUUCGGCAAGGGGGUCAUCCCGACUUACCAACCCGAUGCAAACUGCGAAUACCGGAGAAUGUUAUCACGGGAGACACACGGCGGGUGCUAACGUCCGUCGUGAAGAGGGAAACAACCCAGACCGCCAGCUAAGGUCCCAAAGUCAUGGUUAAGUGGGAAACGAUGUGGGAAGGCCCAGACAGCCAGGAUGUUGGCUUAGAAGCAGCCAUCAUUUAAAGAAAGCGUAAUAGCUCACUGGUCGAGUCGGCCUGCGCGGAAGAUGUAACGGGGCUAAACCAUGCACCGAAGCUGCGGCAGCGACGCUUAUGCGUUGUUGGGUAGGGGAGCGUUCUGUAAGCCUGUGAAGGUGUGCUGUGAGGCAUGCUGGAGGUAUCAGAAGUGCGAAUGCUGACAUAAGUAACGAUAAAGCGGGUGAAAAGCCCGCUCGCCGGAAGACCAAGGGUUCCUGUCCAACGUUAAUCGGGGCAGGGUGAGUCGACCCCUAAGGCGAGGCCGAAAGGCGUAGUCGAUGGGAAACAGGUUAAUAUUCCUGUACUUGGUGUUACUGCGAAGGGGGGACGGAGAAGGCUAUGUUGGCCGGGCGACGGUUGUCCCGGUUUAAGCGUGUAGGCUGGUUUUCCAGGCAAAUCCGGAAAAUCAAGGCUGAGGCGUGAUGACGAGGCACUACGGUGCUGAAGCAACAAAUGCCCUGCUUCCAGGAAAAGCCUCUAAGCAUCAGGUAACAUCAAAUCGUACCCCAAACCGACACAGGUGGUCAGGUAGAGAAUACCAAGGCGCUUGAGAGAACUCGGGUGAAGGAACUAGGCAAAAUGGUGCCGUAACUUCGGGAGAAGGCACGCUGAUAUGUAGGUGAAGUCCCUCGCGGAUGGAGCUGAAAUCAGUCGAAGAUACCAGCUGGCUGCAACUGUUUAUUAAAAACACAGCACUGUGCAAACACGAAAGUGGACGUAUACGGUGUGACGCCUGCCCGGUGCCGGAAGGUUAAUUGAUGGGGUCAGCGCAAGCGAAGCUCUUGAUCGAAGCCCCGGUAAACGGCGGCCGUAACUAUAACGGUCCUAAGGUAGCGAAAUUCCUUGUCGGGUAAGUUCCGACCUGCACGAAUGGCGUAAUGAUGGCCAGGCUGUCUCCACCCGAGACUCAGUGAAAUUGAACUCGCUGUGAAGAUGCAGUGUACCCGCGGCAAGACGGAAAGACCCCGUGAACCUUUACUAUAGCUUGACACUGAACAUUGAGCCUUGAUGUGUAGGAUAGGUGGGAGGCUUAGAAGUGUGGACGCCAGUCUGCAUGGAGCCGACCUUGAAAUACCACCCUUUAAUGUUUGAUGUUCUAACGUUGACCCGUAAUCCGGGUUGCGGACAGUGUCUGGUGGGUAGUUUGACUGGGGCGGUCUCCUCCUAAAGAGUAACGGAGGAGCACGAAGGUUGGCUAAUCCUGGUCGGACAUCAGGAGGUUAGUGCAAUGGCAUAAGCCAGCUUGACUGCGAGCGUGACGGCGCGAGCAGGUGCGAAAGCAGGUCAUAGUGAUCCGGUGGUUCUGAAUGGAAGGGCCAUCGCUCAACGGAUAAAAGGUACUCCGGGGAUAACAGGCUGAUACCGCCCAAGAGUUCAUAUCGACGGCGGUGUUUGGCACCUCGAUGUCGGCUCAUCACAUCCUGGGGCUGAAGUAGGUCCCAAGGGUAUGGCUGUUCGCCAUUUAAAGUGGUACGCGAGCUGGGUUUAGAACGUCGUGAGACAGUUCGGUCCCUAUCUGCCGUGGGCGCUGGAGAACUGAGGGGGGCUGCUCCUAGUACGAGAGGACCGGAGUGGACGCAUCACUGGUGUUCGGGUUGUCAUGCCAAUGGCACUGCCCGGUAGCUAAAUGCGGAAGAGAU
rnacentral:rRNA from 1 species